rnacentral:lncRNA from 1 species
GCGAGAAAUUUAACCAGGUUCAGGUUGUAUAUUUUGCACAAAAGGAUGAUUGAUGCUUUUUCGCAACAUCAAUCACUGGAUCAUAUACGUAAUAGAUCUUAUCUUAUAUUUGGUUGGAGUCAUAAGAGGAUGGAUGGAUGGGAUUGAAAGGACGGAUGGCUUCCAUCCAUCUUUUGGUUCAAAAAAUUAUAAUAAGAAUGGAUGAAAAAGAAGAAAUUGUCCAUCCA